UGGCAGCUCUGCUGAAGGUGUAAGGAGGGUACUUUUCAUUUAGAUGAUCAAUGGAGCAUAGAGGGGUGAGAAAGUGAUUCUAUUAGCAUGUGAAACCAGCCAUUGUACAAUGCAACUUUAUUGCACAAGUUGACUGUAAGGUCCAUUGUGCCUUUAGCAAAGUUAACUAGAUGUCCCUUAUUAUCAUAGCUGAGUUCCUCUUUGGCUUGGCUACAUUCUGCAAGAUAGAUACAAAUACCCUUGAAACACAAUGGUAGAGGUUGUACAUAGGGGUGAGGAAGGUGAUGGAGAGAGAAAGAUU